rnacentral:rRNA from 1 species
CCUACGGGGCGCAGCAGUGGGGAAUAUUGCACAAUGGGGGAAACCCCGAUGCAGCAACGCCGCGUGAGUGAAGAAGUAUUUCGGUAUGUAAAGCUCUAUCAGCAGGGAAGAAGAUGACGGUACCUGAGUAAGAAGCCCCGGCUAACUACGUGCCAGCAGCCGCGGUAAUACGUAGGGGGCAAGCGUUAUCCGGAUUUACUGGGUGUAAAGGGAGCGUAGGUGGCAGGGCAAGUCAGAUGUGAAAACCCGGGGCUCAACUCCGGGAGUGCAUUUGAAACUGUCCAGCUAGAGUGCAGGAGAGGUAA